rnacentral:rRNA from 1 species
AUGGAGAAGGAGCAGAAGGUGGAGGGCGAGAGGGCCGCGGCGGCCACGCAGCGGUGGGUGAUCGGGGUGGGGUUCUGGGUGCAGGGCUUCCGGCUCUUCCCCUGGCUGGGCGUCAACUUCUUCCUCAAGGACGCCAUGGGCGUCCCCUCCUCCUCGCUGCAGAUCCUCCAGGCCUCCGCCACCCUGCCCAUGGUCGCCAAGCCGCUCCUCGGCCUCCUCUCCGACGCCGUCCCCAUCCGCGGCUGCCGCCGCCUGCCAUACGUCGCCAUCGGCGCUCUCUUGCAGGCAGUUUCAUGGUUAGGAAUUGCCCUCUGGCCGUCUCUUUCUCUUCCGGUUCUUACAAUUUUUCUCCUCUUGAGCAACUUUGGUGCAUCCAUAUGUGAGGUUGCCAAUGAUGCCAUUGUAGCGGAGGCCGGGAAGCAGGCAACCUCUUCCUCAGGGGGUCAGCUUCAAUCCUUUGCUUGUAUGUUUGGCGCUUCUGCUGGCGCGUUAGGAAACCUCCUAGGUGGCAUUGCUCUCAGCUACUUUUCCCCCAAACUCAUGUUCCUAUUUUUCGCAAUCGUUCUCGUGCUCCAGUUCUUCACUACUGUGGCUAUACCUGAGAGCUCCCUCAAACUCCCAAAGGCGACUACUAAUACAUCAGUGAUUUCCAGCAUCCGUAAACAAACCAAAGAGCUGUCGUACGCGCUCUGUAUGCCGGAAAUAUUCUGGUCAGUCAUAUGGUUUUCAGUGUCCUAUGCUGCCAUACCGUUUCUACUCGGGACCAUGUUCUUCUACCAGACUGAAGUGUUAAGACUUGACUCAUCCAUCAUCGGUUUAUCCAAGGUUUUUGGGCAAGUGGCUCUCUUGGCUUGGAGCAUGGCAUACAACAAGUGCUUCAAGACAACUUCUGCACGCAAGGUCUUAUCAGCUCUGCAGUUCAUCACAGCAGUCGUAAUGUUGUCAGACGUGUUAUUUGUCCAGGGAGUGUACAGGAAGGUGGGAAUAUCAGACUCCUUAUACACCAUUGUGUUCUCAGGGCUGCUAGAGGGCCUCAUGUUCUUCAAGGUGCUACCCUUCAGUGUUCUUAUCGCAAGCCUUUGCCCCUCUGGGUGCGAGGGAUCGGUUCUGGCCUUUGUCAUGUCUGCACUUGCCCUGUCUAUUAUCAUCAGCGGAUAUCUUGGGGUUGCGCUUGCUGAAUUCAUGGGGGUAUCUGGAGAUGAUUUCUCAGCGCUGCCGGUUUGCUUGUUGAUUGAGGCUGCAUGCACAAUGUUGCCGCUAUUUUGCUCAUCAUGGAUUAAAGAGAGGAAAGGGAAGGAGAAGAAGGAAGAGUAG